GCUCCUAAAGGAUAACAGCUAAUCCGUUGGUCUUAGGAACCAAAGACUCUUGGUGCAAAUCCAAGUAGCAGCU
rnacentral:tRNA from 23 species